rnacentral:sRNA from 1 species
UCCUAGCCCUGAUCGAAGUGAAAAUCCUUGUUGUCUGGAGUUCGGACAACAAGAUUGAAACGGAGAGCAGGAACCAUC